AUGACUAUACUUUCAGGGAUCAUUUCUAUAGUUUCUAACUUGAGAAAUGUGUUUCUAAAGUGAUUGGUCUCGCUAACCACGAUGAAGAGGUAAUGAUACUUCUCCCUGAGCGUGAAUCGUACUUCAGUUAGUGAGUCUCUCACAUGACUGUUGUAAUUGAUGACCGUUCACUGUCGGUGAAUGCUGAUAGCGAUGGGAGGAGUAUGUUCAGAGUGGCA
ensembl:snoRNA